rnacentral:ncRNA from 1 species
CACUUGAUAUCAAUGGUCGACCUGCAAAAUUUGGCCUACCCAUAUAACAUGCUGAAAAUUGUACCAAAAACACGGUGUGAAAUAAAGCUAUAAUAACAAAAUUUGAUGCUACUGACAUGUUUUAUAAGUAGUAUGUAGAUGCGAAUAUAAAUGAAGAUCAAGAAAAUCGAAGGGCAGAGAUAUGGAUUUAAUAAAUAAAACACCAUCGGAAAUAUCAAAGAUAGAUAAAGAAUAACAGAAUAAAAGACAAAGAAGCACAAUAUCGAAGAUAUAUACGUAAAUUGUGGUUCUACUAUGUAUUAGACGUAUUUUGCUUGUAUCUUUCUAAGAGGUAAAAUUCUGGGAUCAUUGCAAGACAAACUACAGCGAAAUUAUUUACCAAGAAUGUUUUCAUCGAUCAGGAGUGAAGGUCACGGUUUCGUAGACGACCAGAUACAGCCGUAUUUCUGACCAAAAUCGACGCCAACUGACGAUUCACGAUGGUUCUAGUCUGGAUAUUGUUAGCAGUCACGGGGAAACGUUCACGUCUUUAGGCUUCAGGGAAAUACGGUUACAAUAUUGAAAAUUAGAGGAAUUGAUUGAAAGUCACCGUCAGGAGGAUCUAGAGGUUGAAAGCAUUUUGUUGAUGCAGUGGAUGUUGGUGCAUGAUCAUUCUUAGCUGCUGGUGCUCUUAGAUCUCCGGAGCAAUGUGUGAGCUACAAUAACGGUGUUAGCAAGUCUGGGGGCCUAGCGAGAAAGGGAUAGGCGAACUGUUUUAUCACUGUCGUGAUUGGGUUCGGGGGUCUUGCAAUUAUUCCCUGUGAAGUAGAAAUUCCUAGUAAGUACGAAGCAUAAAUCGUUUCACCUACAGGGGCAAUG